UCCGGUUUGUCACCGGCAGUCUCCUAUGAGUGCCCGACCCUACUCGCUGGCAACUGGAGGCGAGGGUUGCGCUCGUUGCGGGACUUAACCCAACAUCUCACGACACGAGCUGACGACAGCCAUGCACCACCUGUGAUCGCGCCCCGAAGGGAGGGUGUGUUUCCACACCGGUCGCGAACAUGUCAAGCCCAGGUAAGGUUCUUCGCGUUGCGUCGAAUUAAACCACAUGCUCCGCUGCUUGUGCGGGUCCCCGUCAAUUCCUUUGAGUUUUAGCCUUGCGGCCGCACUCCCCAGGCGGGGCACUUAAUGCGUUAGCUGCGGCGCCGGGGGAGUCGACACCCCCAACACCUAGUGCCCAUCGUUUACGGCGUGGACUAC
rnacentral:misc_RNA from 1 species